rnacentral:rRNA from 1 species
GACGAACGCUGGCGGCGUGCUUAACACAUGCAAGUCGAACGGAAAGGCCCUGCUUUUGUGGGGUGCUCGAGUGGCGAACGGGUGAGUAACACGUGAGUAACCUGCCCUUGACUUUGGGAUAACUUCAGGAAACUGGGGCUAAUACCGGAUAGGAGCUCCUGCUGCAUGGUGGGGGUUGGAAAGUUUCGGCGGUUGGGGAUGGACUCGCGGCUUAUCAGCUUGUUGGUGGGGUAGUGGCUUACCAAGGCUUUGACGGGUAGCCGGCCUGAGAGGGUGACCGGCCACAUUGGGACUGAGAUACGGCCCAGACUCCUACGGGAGGCAGCAGUGGGGAAUAUUGCACAAUGGGCGGAAGCCUGAUGCUGCAACUCCGCGUGCGGGAUGACGGCCUUCGGGUUGUAAACCGCUUUCGCCUGUGACGAAGCGUGAGUGACGGUAAUGGGUAAAGAAGCACCGGCUAACUACGUG